AUGAAAGUUCUCAACGUUAUUUUGGUCUUGGUUUUGGUUAUUACUAUAGCUUAUGUUGAACCAAACAUAGCUAGUAGGGUUUUGAAUACAAAAAACAAGUUACAAUUGCAGUCUCUUGAUAAGGGUCCUGUUACUCCCUCAGGGCCUUCUGGCUGCACCUUUAUCCCGGGAAGUGGCGGCACUAACUGCCCUGUGAAGGAAAUGAAUGUUGCCGGAAAGGAUUAUCAGCGUCGAGGUUAUCCUCGACUUUUUGCUCCUUUUGGUGUUGCAAUCAAUCAAUAA